rnacentral:misc_RNA from 1 species
CUUGCCAUGAGGUUUUCUCAUAAUAUAAUUAUGUGCAAUCAGCAUUUCCAAACCAUGAACACAAAAUGAAAUGCAUGAGAAUACAUGAAUAUAUCCAGAAGAAAUUAACAAGAACCAUAAUAAAUAAAAAAACACUAGUUAAUUAAUUAAUUAAUGCAAUUUAGCUGGAUGGUUUUGCCAGGCAUUAUUGCAUUAUAUGAUCAUACCAGAUCGAGUAGAAGACCUAGUGUAAUAAAUUGCCAACUUUUUGGAUACCAAAAACCCUAGACCUCACAUACUCGAGAGCAUAAUUAAUAUCAUCAUCAAGUCAUGACUUACAUCUAAGUGAUCAAAAUAGAUUAGUUUCAUCACCCAAAAGGUGAGUUUCUCUCUUGUGGCAUGCCACCAGUAGUAUUCAUCAUAGGGCUCAUCCUAUCAGAGGGAAGUGGUGCUCUUCUCGGCGAUGGCCUUUCCAGCUUUGCAUUCUUAUCACACAUUGGAUCACCUUGAAUCACUGGCGGCUUUGUUUCAUAAAUAUCAGAUAUGGAAUCCAAAUCAGUUCCUCUAUCAAUCUGAAUCUGGUGAUGAUCACCUUUGAAAAGAUGAUCAUCUUGAGGUCCAAGACAGGUUGGUGCUGAUCCCAGAUCUUGCAAACGAAGAUCAUCAGGCCAGAUUAAAGGGCUCUUGCCGCUACCGCCAUAAGGGCUGGACCUCUUUUUUCCCAAGCAAAUAUUAUCAUUGUUUGGCAUGAACCCAUCAAGUGAUGAUGGCCUUUCCAUGUUGUGUUGAUGAAGAUCAAGUUGGUCACCUCCAUAAAUGUUAAGGUCUUGAAAUGGUGGGAAAUUUAAAGGACCAAAAUCUUUCAUCCCAGCACCCAUAUCAGGAAUUCCUUGAUUUCCAAUGCCUUUGUAGCUUCCUGAGGCCAUAUUUUCACUGGCAAGUGUUUGAUAAGCUUUCUCCAACAUAUUUUGCAUGUAUUUUCCAUGAGCUUCGAUCCUUAAUUGAAGAUGUCUUUGCACCUGAAGCCGUAGAUCGUACCAAACCCAUAUACAAUUUUAACAUAUAUGCUUAUGUAUUAAACGAGAUCGUUGAGAAAAGAUUUUUGCUUACCUCUAACUGUUCAUGCAAUCUUCUCUGCACCUCCAUUUGCAUCUCGUUCAUACUUCGGCUCAUCAUGACAGAAGAAGAUCCAGCAUUUCUUUGAAGAUCUAAUGCUGGAGCUGCCAUGAAACCAAAAUUUAAUCAGAUAAUCUAGCUAGCUUCUACCGAAAGAAUAAGAGAAAAAAAAAUUAUGAUAAAAACAGUGAGCACAUGCACGCGCGUGACACGCAAAGGAAGAAGAAACAAAAAGAAAUAAAAUAAAAGAAAACUCUUACAAUCUUUGAUUGAGUGAUCAUUGAAUUCCUUGUGAGGUUGCUUUCCAAGUCUGAAUUUCUGAAGAUGGCUUUUGAGGUGGUAAAGGGUAAGACCCUUCACACCCAUAACUCUCAUGAUGGUCUUUGGUGUAGCUUUAUCAGGUCCUCCAAGUUGAGUAACAGCAUCGACAAAGCGUUCAUGAAGUUCAACUGUCCAACGAAGACGAGGUUUAGGGUCAGUGGUUAGGACAAGACCAGAGUCACCUUGAACACACAUGGGUCUAUCAUGGGAAUUCAUAGUAGAGGGUUUCUUGGCAUGGAACAUUCUCUUUCUUUCUCUCUCUCUCUAAGAAACUCUGAGAAU